ACAAUAAACACUAAGCGCUGCUCACUAUGAUACCAUCCUGAAGGAUCGUGGUUGAUUUUGGAAAAAGACAACGAACAUGCCAUUUUUAUUGUUGAUUAGAUAUCUACAUUAUGGUCUGAAGAACACUAGUUCCCAAAAGACAAAUGACAGCGUCAUCCACGUUUAUAUUAUAGGAUUGUGAUGAGUAUAGUCAAACUAUAGUUAUAAUAGAAAAAUUAAGGUGAGCAAUAAACGUAUUCAAUCAGUAAUUGUAUGUUACCCAUUGUACAAUAAAAAGACAAUAAAAAAAUUCAGUACACGUCAGGAUGUUAGAAGUAUAGAUUUCAAAUACAAUGUAUCAAUGUCUGAUCAUUCUUAUACACAAAUGAAAGAACAAUACAGUUACUGAUAAACGUUUCAUUUCGCUAAAUCUUUGUUUGCAUUUUAAUUAUACUUUCCAUGGACAGUGCAUACAAUGAUAUCUACAGUACGGUAGAAUCGUAGUAUAAUUCAUUCAGGACUAUAAUGAUUCUAAUGAUUCGUUUGAUAAUAAUAAAAACAAAAAUGAAAUUUAACUUAAUACAUUCGGUAAAUACAUAUUUCUAUUUAAGAUAUUUACGUCAAUAUUUGUCAAAGUUGCGCUCAUCAAUAGAUGUGUUAUGUUGUUAAACAGAUGCUGCCUUCAUUUGAAACAUAGCAACUGUCAACCUUUCUUCUCGAACAGAUUGAUAAUCGCCAGUAUGAUAAUCAAUUGACCUCUAUGAUGCGAUAAUGACGUGUAAAAUGGAAAUGAAUAUCGAAUUAUCUAUCGACUAAACCACAAAACGAUAAUCGUUAACACAAUUUCAAACAUGCCAUUUGUUCAUCAAGUGUUUUAAUAAAAAAAAAUGAAGAAAGGAUCUGACCAAAAGAGUAAGGCCGUGUUCACAUUGACAUACAUUAGGUGUUAUAUUAGUGUAUAGCACACGUAAACAAAACACAAUAACGUUACUAUUGCUUCAACUCAAUAACUCAAUGUUUAUAUGUGGUUUAACCAUGUUUUGUCUACAUGCAGUCGAUAGUCAAUGUAGGCCUUGUGUAGGUCAAGUGUACACAAGACAAGGUAUUAAGAACAUGAAUUUAACCAUGUUUAUUUAAAGAUGAAACUUUAAAAAAAUAAUUAUAUUUAUAACAAUUAUUGAUAAAGUUCUUUAACGAAUUAUUUGUCUAAACUAAAAGGGGUAGAAAUGAUAGGACGAAACAUUUGGUCUUGCUUUUUUUAGACGUCAUCUCUGUCCUGCCUUUUUUUAUUAUAUUCUGUCUUUGCCUUUUCUUUUUAGUUGAACCUGCUUUUUUUUACAUAAACUGUCAUCCUGCCUUUUUUUGGCAAAGUGACUCAUUCUGGUUUUUUUUUUCAAUUAAAACUUCUGUCCUUCCUUGUUUUAAGAUAUCGUACAAACCCCCUAUUAAUCAAAUGGAAGCUCCCUAAGUAUAUUGUAUAAUAAUUUUUGUUUGAGUCAGAAUUGUUAAUUUUCGCAUAGCACGAACAAUUUUAUUUGUUUUUUUCAACGCUAUCAAUAUUUUUUUUCCUUUCUAAAUGUUACCCUGUUAAGUAUGGGGAAAAUCUGGAUUCAUAAUAUUUUGUUUUUGUCCUCAAUGUUGUCCUCAAUUUUAGAAUUUCAAAUAAACCUUAACCCCCUUCCCAGUUGAAGCAAUAUGGGCGUUCCCUUAACCACUUUCCAGACGCAAAGCAUCAUAUUUGCCAAACGCAUAACUCAUUUGACAAUGUCUUCCCUAAUUACCUGGAUGUCACAGAAAUAUUUGCCACUGGUCUUAACUCAAUCAACGAUUCACUCAUAAAUGUAUUACUAAUACAUCUUGAACAUCUCAAUGUUUCGUCAUAGUUUAUCAGCCAUUGCCGUAGCCUUCUUUUUAUUUAUUGCAUAAUUGGUAAUAGAUCCAGUGAGGGGUUUCUGAACUCUCUUUAUUGGACGAUCAAUGUAUUUGAAAGGGGACAUAUGGUUGAAAACCCCCAUUUUCAUUCUUGGAUGGGAAUGCAAUUAUAAAAACCCGCCUCUGGUUUAGUCGAUACAUCUUUAGUAUCUUACAGUACUGCAGAUCAUCAAAAUGGAUUUCAUAACUGCUAGAAGAGUUCUCCUACACAUUUGACAUCGAUUCUUUGUAAUAAUCAUUUAAAUGACAUAUUUACUGUAUAUGGCGUUUGGUGUGAACAAGACGUACGUACGAUUGUAACCUGUGUUGCGCAACUACACAUGACCUUUUACAAGAAUCGGUAAAAAGGCAUUUUUUCCUGUUUUUAUAUAUAUAUCCAGGCGUUUUUUAUACAGGUGUGUCCUUGGACGCGAAUCUUACACAAAGAGGAUUUACAGUUAGUUUUGAUUUUACUUUGUUAAUCUUCGUUUUAACCUUUACCUUUUUUAGGGUUUAGUUUAUUCUGUAUUCACUUUCAUUCUCAACAAAAUGCUUAAAGACAAAAUUGCCAAAAUUUUAUUUUCGACCUUUUUAAGUUAUUUUGAAUGUUUGGAUGAAUUUUUUAGUCUGUUUUGUUGUUUGUCUUUUGUUGUUUGUCUUUGAUGUAGGUUGACACAGUUCGGACUAAUCGAUCAAACUUAUUGUCGCACUAACCUUUUAUGUCUGUUUGUGUUUUGACACAAAUUGGGUUAAAUAUAACCGGGCUAUACACAACUGCCAUACACGUGGGUAGGUCAGCUGUUGUUUUUUGCGUGUUGCUUUGAUUGACAACACUUGAUUUUGUCAGUUUGUGUAGACUUUUUCUUUUCUUUUAUAUUUUAUAUCACUUGUAUUACAUAUGA
rnacentral:lncRNA from 1 species